rnacentral:rRNA from 1 species
GCCAGCAGCCAUAUCACCCUGCAACUCACAACUGGCAGCCCACUGAAGCUAAGCAGGUGUGAGCCUGGUCAGGACCUGGAUGGGAGACCUCCUGGGAAACUAAGGCUGCUGCUGGAA